UACGGGGGGGGGCAAGCGUUGUUCGGAAUUACUGGGCGUAAAGGGCUCGUAGGCGGCCAACUAAGUCAGACGUGAAAUCCCUAGGCUCAACCUAGGAACUGCGUCUGAUACUGGAUGGCUUGAAUCCGGGAGAGGGAUGCGAGAAUUCCAGGUGUAGCGGUGAAAUGCGUAGAUAUCUGGAGGAACACCGGUGGCGAAGGCGGCCACCUGGAC
rnacentral:rRNA from 1 species